GCACUCACUUCAGAAGCAUGCAGACUAAAACUGAAACUGUACAUGGAAGAUUAGCAUGCCCCCUUAACGAGGAUGAUAUGCAAAGUUCAUGAAAGACCCCACAUUCUU
ensembl:snRNA U6 U6 spliceosomal RNA